rnacentral:rRNA from 1 species
AGUGGCGGACGGGUGAGUAACACGUGGGAACGUGCCUUUAGGUUCGGAAUAAGCCCGGGAAACUGGGUCUAAUACCGGAUGUGCCCUUCGGGGGAAAGAUUUAUCGCCUUUAGAGCGGCCCGCGUCUGAUUAGCUAGUUGGUGGUGUAAUGGACCACCAAGGCGACGAUCAGUAGCUGGUCUGAGAGGAUGAUCAGCCACAUUGGGACUGAGACACGGCCCAAACUCCUACGGGAGGCAGCAGUGGGGAAUCUUGCGCAAUGGGCGAAAGCCUGACGCAGCCAUGCCGCGUGAAUGAUGAAGGUCUUAGGAUUGUAAAAUUCUUUCACCGGGGACGAUAAUGACGGUACCCGGAGAAGAAGCCCCGGCUAACUUCGUGCCAGCAGCCGCGGUAAUACGAAGGGGGCUAGCGUUGCUCGGAAUUACUGGGCGUAAAGGGAGCGUAGGCGGACAUUUAAGUCAGGGGUGAAAUCCCGGGGCUCAACCUCGGAACUGCCUUUGAUACUGGGUGUCUUGAGUGUGAUAGAGGUAUGUGGAACUCCGAGUGUAGAGGUGAAAUUCGUAGAUAUUCGGAAGAACACCAGUGGCGAAGGCGACAUACUGGAUCAUUACUGACGCUGAGGCUCGAAAGCGUGGGGAGCAAACAGGAUUAGAUACCCUGGUAGUCCACGCCGUAAACGAUGAUUGCUAGUUGUCGGGG